GACGAACGCUGGCGGCGUGCUUAACACAUGCAAGUCGAACGGAAAGGCCCUGCUUUUGUGGGGUGCUCGAGUGGCGAACGGGUGAGUAACACGUGAGUAACCUGCCCUUGACUUUGGGAUAACUUCAGGAAACUGGGGCUAAUACCGGAUAGGAGCUCCUGCUGCAUGGUGGGGGUUGGAAAGUUUCGGCGGUUGGGGAUGGACUCGCGGCUUAUCAGCUUGUUGGUGGGGUAGUGGCUUACCAAGGCUUUGACGGGUAGCCGGCCUGAGAGGGUGAACGGCCACAUUGGGACUGAGAGACGGCCCAGACUCCUACGGGAGGCAGCAGUGGGGAAUAUUGCACAAUGGGCGGAAGCCUGAUGCAGCAACGCCGCGUGCGGGAUGACGGCCUUCGGGUUGUAAACCGCUUUCGCCUGUGACGAAGCGUGAGUGACGGUAAUGGGUAAAGAAGCACCGGCUAACUACGUG
rnacentral:rRNA from 1 species